rnacentral:SRP_RNA from 1 species
GCCGGGCGCGGUUGUGGGCGCCUGUAGUCCCAGCUACUCGGGAGGCUGAGGCAGGAGAAUGGCGUGAGACCGGGAGGCGGAGCUUGCAGUGAGCCGAGAUCGCGCCACUGCACUCCAGCCUGGGCGACAGAGCCUGACUCCCGUCUCAAUUAAAAAAAAAAAAAAAAGCAAGGCUAUUGUCAUUAAUUCUGUUUUUUUUGUUUGUUUGUUUUUUGAGACGGAGUCUCGCUCUGUCGCCCAGGCUGGAGUGCAGUGGCGCGAUCUCGGCUCACUGCAAGCUCCGCCUCCUGGGUUUACGCCAUUCUCCUGCCUCAG